rnacentral:rRNA from 1 species
AGCGGUGGAGCAUGUGGUUUAAUUCGAUGCAACGCGAAGAACCUUACCUGGUCUUGACAUCCACGGAAGUUUUCAGAGAUGAGAAUGUGCCUUCGGGAACUGUGAGACAGGUGCUGCAUGGCUGUCGUCAGCUCGUGUUGUGAAAUGUUGGGUUAAGUCCCGCAACGAGCGCAACCCUUAUCCUUUGUUGCCAGCGGUCCGGCCGGGAACUCAAAGGAGACUGCCAGUGAUAAACUGGAGGAAGGUGGGGAUGACGUCAAGUCAUCAUGGCCCUUACGACCAGGGCUACACACGUGCUACAAUGGCGCAUACAAAGAGAAGCGACCUCGCGAGAGCAAGCGGACCUCAUAAAGUGCGUCGUAGUCCGGAUUGGAGUCUGCAACUCGACUCCAUGAAGUCGGAAUCGCUAGUAAUCGUGGAUCAGAAUGCCACGGUGAAUACGUUCCCGGGCCUUGUACACACCGCCCGUCACACCAUGGGAG